UCUGUAUCUGUAACAUUUAUGUCCUUAUGUACAUUUAUUAUGAAUUGUGGACAUAAAUAAAGUAGUUAAAAUGUGUGUGUGGUUAGGCUACAGUGUGUGUU